UACAGAUGUCUCAAGCGUUGUUCGGAUUCAUUGGGCGUAAAGGGUGUGUAGGUGGCGCGCUAAGUCGGGUGUGAAAUUUCGGAGCUUAACUCCGAAACUGCAUUCGAUACUGGCGUGCUUGAGGACUGGAGAGGAGACUGGAAUUCAUGGUGUAGCAAUGAAAUGCGUAGAGAUCAUGAGGAAGACCAGUGGCGAAGGCGGGUCUCUGGACAGUUCCUGACACUGAGACACGAAGGCCAGGGGAGCAAACGGG
rnacentral:rRNA from 1 species